rnacentral:rRNA from 1 species
GUUGACGAUGAGCGUCCUUCGGGGCGCAUCAGUGGCGCACGNGGUGAGUAACGCGUAAGCAAUCUGCCUUACGGACGGGGAUAACACAACGAAAGUGGUGCUAAUACCGGAUGAGGCCGCGUGUUCGCAUGGAUAUGCGGUGAAAGGGGGCCUCUUCAAAGCUUCCGCCGAGAGAUGAGCUUGCGUCCCAUUAGCUAGUUGGUGUGGUGAAGGCGCACCAAGGUAAUGAUGGGUAGCCGGCCUGAGAGGGUGAUCGGCCACACUGGGACUGCGACACGGCCCAGACUCCUACGGGAGGCAGCAGUGGGGAAUUUUGCGCAAUGGGCGAAAGCCUGACGCAGCGACGCCGCGUGGAGGAAUAAGGCCUUCGGGUUGUAAACUCCUGUCAGAGGUGAAGAAAGUCCUUUGGACUUGACGGUAACCUCAGAGGAAGCCCCGGCUAACUACGUGCCAGCAGCCGCGGUAAUACGUAGGGGGCGAACGUUGCUCGGAAUUACUGGGCGUAAAGGGUGUGUAGGUGGCUGAGCAAGUCAUGGAUGAAAUCCCGAGGCUUACCUUCGGAACUGUCCUUGAAACUGCUUAACUUGAGGAUAGCUGAGGAAGACGGAAUUCCC